rnacentral:rRNA from 1 species
AGUGAACGCUGGCGGCAGGCCUAACACAUGCAAGUCGAACGGCAGCACAGUAAGAGCUUGCUCUUAUGGGUGGCGAGUGGCGGACGGGUGAGGAAUACAUCGGAAUCUACUCUUUCGUGGGGGAUAACGUAGGGAAACUUACGCUAAUACCGCAUACGACCUACGGGUGAAAGCGGAGGACCUUCGGGCUUCGCGCGAUUAAAUGAGCCGAGGUCGGAUUAGCUAGUUGGCGGGGUAAAGGCCCACCAAGGCGACGAUCCGUAGCUGGUCUGAGAGGAUGAUCAGCCACACUGGAACUGAGACACGGUCCAGACUCCUACGGGAGGCAGCAGUGGGGAAUAUUGGACAAUGGGCGCAAGCCUGAUCCAGCCAUGCCGCGUGGGUGAAGAAGGCCUUCGGGUUGUAAAGCCCUUUUGUUGGGAAAGAAAAGCAGACGGUUAAUACCCGAUUGUUCUGACGGUACCCAAAGAAUAAGCACCGGCUAACUUCGUGCCAGCAGCCGCCGUAAGAC